rnacentral:rRNA from 1 species
CGGUCUGUCAAGUCGGAUGUGAAUCCCCGGGCUCAACCUGGGAACUGCAUUCGAAACUGGCAGGCUAGAGUCUUGUAGAGGGGGGUAGAAUUCCAGGUGUAGCGGUGAAAUGCGUAGAGAUCUGGAGGAAUACCGGUGGCGAAGGCGGCCCCCUGGACAAAGACUGACGCUCAGGUGCGAAAGCGUGGGGAGCAAACAGGAUUAGAUACCCUGGUAGUCCACGCCGUAAACGAUGUCGACUUGGAGGUUGUGCCCUUGAGGCGUGGCUUCCAGAGCUAACGCGUUAAGUCGACCGCCUGGGGAGUACGGCCGCAAGGUUAAAACUCAAAUGAAUUGACGGGGGCCCGCACAAGCGGUGGAGCAUGUGGUUUAAUUCGAUGCAACGCGAAGAACCUUACCUACUCUUGACAUCCAGAGAACUUUCCAGAGAUGGAUUGGUGCCUUCGGGAACUCUGAGACAGGUGCUGCAUGGCUGUCGUCAGCUCGUGUUGUGAAAUGUUGGGUUAAGUCCCGCAACGAGCGCAACCCUUAUCCUUUGUUGCCAGCGGUUAGGCCGGGAACUCAAAGGAGACUGCCAGUGAUAAACUGGAGGAAGGUGGGGAUGACGUCAAGUCAUCAUGGCCCUUACGAGUAGGGCUACACACGUGCUACAAUGGCGCAUACAAAGAGAAGCGACCUCGCGAGAGCAAGCGGACCUCAUAAAGUGCGUCGUAGUCCGGAUUGGAGUCUGCAACUCGACUCCAUGAAGUCGGAAUCGCUAGUAAUCGUAGAUCAGAAUGCUACGGUGAAUACGUUCCCGGGCCUUGUACACACCGCCCGUCACACCAUGGGAGUGGGUUGCAAAAGAAGUAGGUAGCUUAACCUUCGGGAGGGCGCUUACCACUUUGUGAUUCAUGACUGGGGUGAAGUCGUAACAAGGUAGCC